rnacentral:rRNA from 1 species
UACGUAGGGUGCGAGCGUUAAUCGGAAUUACUGGGCGUAAAGCGUGCGCAGGCGGUUCGUUGUGUCGGCGGUGAAAUCCCCGGGCUUAACCUGGGAACUGCAUUUGUGACUGCAUAGCUAGAGUACGGUAGAGGGGGGAUGGAAUUCCGGCGUGUAGCAGUGAAAUGCGUAGAUAUGCGGAGGAACACCGAUGGCGAAGGCAAUCCCCUGGACCUGUACUGACGCUCAUGCACGAAAGCGUGGGGAGCAACAGG